UACGUAGGGCGCAAGCGUUGUCCGGAAUUAUUGGGCGUAAAGAGCUCGUAGGUGGCGUGUCGCGUCUGCCGUGAAAGCCCAUGGCUUAACUGUGGGUCUGCGGUGGAUACGGGCAGGCUGGAGGCUGGUAGGGGCAAGCGGAAUUCCUGGUGUAGCGGUGAAAUGCGCAGAUAACAGGAGGAACACCGGUGGCGAAGGCGGCUUGCUGGGCCAGUUCUGACGCUGAGGAGCGAAAGCGUGAGGAGCGAACAG
rnacentral:rRNA from 1 species